CGUAGGGUGCGAGCGUUGUCCGGAAUUAUUGGGCGUAAAGAGCUCGUAGGCGGAUUGUCGCGUCGGCCGUGAAAACUUGGGGCUUAACUCCAAGCUUGCGGUCGAUACGGGCAGACUUGAGUUCGGCAGGGGAGACUGGAAUUCCUGGUGUAGCGGUGAAAUGCGCAGAUAUCAGGAGGAACACCGGUGGCGAAGGCGGGUCUCUGGGCCGAUACUGACGCUGAGGAGCGAAAGCGUGGGGAGCGAACAGGAUUAGAUACCCUGGUAGUCCACGCCGUAAACGGUGGGUGCUAGGUGUGGGGAGCUUCCACGCCCUCUGUGCCGCAGCUAACGCAUUAAGCACCCCGCCUGGGGAGUACGGCCGCAAGGCUA
rnacentral:rRNA from 1 species